ensembl:lncRNA novel transcript, intronic to TBC1D24
ACAUGGAGGACUUAUUGGGGAGUGCUUGCUCUACUUAGAAGCCUGUCUUUCCCUGUGAAGAGGGCGGGAGCCACGCUGUUCAUCUUUGCUUCCCCACAGCCUGGCCAGGGCCGGACCAGAGGUUUUCUCUACAUGAUGGUUGAAGUGGAUCAAGGUCCUUUUGUCGGAGUGAUAGAUGUCAACUAUUGCAGUGGCUUUCCACUGGGUUGAGGGUGACCUUCCGAGAUGCAGAAGUAAUCUAGGCAAGGUUUUCAUAACAACAAUAAAUUUGGCCACCCAGGGUCUGUGAAGUCACCUGUAGGGUAGCCUUACUAGCUCUCGCUGACCACACCUGCCAGGAGUGUCCAGCAGGCUCGAGUGACCUUGGGCAUGCAGUGUUGCUCUUAAUUAUCUACAGAUUGAGCCAAGCUCAGAAAACAUAUUAAAUGUUUGCCUUUAGAUGGUUUCUGGUUUAAAGUACAUAAGGACAAUGAAGCAGGUUACAAAAAAAGCACUUAACAUUUACCCUGUUCAAUGUUUUACCUGUCUGAGCAUACCUUUUCUGUUAUGACAACUCUGUAAAUGGAAGAAAGAAGUCCUUUUCAACUCAAAGCAGCAAUUUCAGUGGCUGUUUCAAACAUUGCCUUUCAAUUGGAGAUAAAAUCAAAGAAACAAAACCUCAGGCUUUUUACUGAGGACCAACUUGAAUUCAUUAUUCAAUGAUUUUCUGUAUCCUUUCAACAUGUGUUUGUUAAGCGAGGUGCGGUGGCUCACGCCUGCAAUCCCAACACUUUGGGAGGCUGAGGUGGAAGGAUCGCAUGAGCCCAGGAGUUCAAGACCACCUUGGGCAACAUAGGGAGGUCUCGUCUCUAUAAAAAAUUAGCCAAGUAUGGUGGCAUGUGCCUGUGGUCCCAGCUACUUGGGAAGCUGAGGCAGAAGGAUCACUUGAGCCUGGGAGCUCAAGACUGCAGUGAGCUGUGAUUGUGCCACUGCACUCAAGCCAGGGCAACAGAGUGAGACCCUGUCUCUGAAAAACAAAACAAUAAAAAUGCAUUUAUUGAAUUCACACUUCAUAGGAGGCACCAUGCCGUGUGUUCUGUGGAUUUGGUGUUAAGACUUGGUCUCUGCCCUUGAGCUUAUAGUGCAGUGAGGAGACAGGAGAAUAAACACAUGGUAGAAGCUCCCACAGAGGUGGACAGAGCCUUCUGUGGGCGCAAAGGCGUGGCAUCCAGCUGGAUUGUGGUGGGGGUGGGGCUCUGAGAUGGACUUGAGCUUCAUUUUGAAGGAUGAUCAGGACCGGCAAGAACAAGUGAGGGAAAGUGCCUUCCCCCGAAGGGACAGUGGAUAUAAAGUGACAGGCGUGGUUCCUGCCCACCAGCUCUUGGGAGAAGGGCAGUGGUGGCCCCAGGGUAGAUGGGGUGAAGUGAGUGAGCUAGGCUGACAGCAGACUGGGAAAAGCCUUGAGUUCCACCUGGGAGUUUGAAUUCACCCUGAGUGGCAUGAAGCCUCUGAAGAUCUUGGGUUUGUGAGUGACUUGAUCAGAGGUGGCCAGGGAGGUGAAGAGGCCAAGGCCGGUUGAGGGACUGUCAUGGCACACCCAGAGAGACAUCAGCACAGAAAAGAGCAAGACUCAGCCAGGCCCGGGGGCUCACACCUGCAAGCCCAGCAUUUUGGGAGGCCAAAGCGGGAGGAACACUUGAGCCCAGGAGUUGCAGGCUGCAGUGAGCUAUGAUUGUUCCACUGCACUCCACCCUGGUCAACUCUGUUUCAGAAGAAAAAAGAGAGCAAGACUCUGAGACAAGUGGUUGCAGGAUGGGAAGAGCCAGGGAGGAAGGAGGGGAUGUUCCAGUAUUGAGCAGCGGGCAGUGCCACACCCCAUGCAGAGUGUGGAGGGAGGGGGCGGGCUGGCACCGUGUGGAGAUGGCGAUGAGGUUACUGCGAGACUGGGCAGUAAGCAUAUGUGUUUUGGCCUGGAGCCAAGGAGAGUGUACUAGACGAGAGCAUUUUGGGGAUGCUGUGUGCCAUCCAAGCUGGGGACUGGGUUGGGUCUUCCCAGGAGAAUGUGCAGAGUGAGAAAAACGAGACGGAAUCCUGAACCCUGUGGACUCCUAAUACAGUCUUAAAGUCAGUAAGGUAACAGAAGGCCAGUCAGUAACCCGUUGCCUUUUGGGGGAAUGGGGCAGGGUAGUGGGCUUUUUUCUUUUUUUUUUUGUUGAGACAGGGUCUCGCUCUUUCUCCUAGUCUGGAGUGCAGUGUCAGGAUCAGUGGCUCACUGUAGCCUCGACCUUCUGGACUCAAGCGAUCCCCUUGCCUCAGCUUCCCAAAUAGCUGGGACGAUAGACUUUUUUCUUUUUUUUUUUUUUUCGAGACAGGGUCUCAUUCCCACUGCCGAGGCUAGAGUACAAUGGAGGGAUCAUGAGAUCAUGGCUCACUGCAGCCUCGACCUCUCGGACUCAAGCAGUCUUCCCACCUUAGUCUCCUGAGUAGCUGGGACUAUAGGCGCACACCACCAUGCCUAGCUAAUUUUUGCAUUUUUUAUAGAGACGGGGUCUCACUUUGUUGCCCAGGCUGGUCUCAAAUUCCUGGACUCAAGCAGUUCUCCCACUUUGGCCUCCCAAAGGCUGGGAUUACAGGCAUGAGCUACGGUGCCUGGCCUGGCCUUUUAAUUUGUCUCUUGGAGUGAAGGAUGGAGUAUGGGACGGGGGGGAUGCCAGUGUCCUUGCAGUGGCCUUCCUGUCUCACGUGUCUAUUUGCCUUUUGGGGAACCUCCAGCUUCAGUGUCGCUCUUCUCAAAGGACCUAGUUCACCUGCAGUCUGAGGGUUGCUCGUCUCAGACGUUCCCACAGGUAGGGCUCUGAGAAAAGCCUUCUCAGACCGAGAGACCCAAGGCUGCAGAGCCCUCAGGGGCACCUCACUCUCCUUCCAGGACCCUGUUUCUGUGUGGUCCAUCAGCAUUGGCAGCAGGUACAACUUUGGAAAAAGUCUGCUGAGAACAGAGGCCACGUGUGUGAUGCGUCCCCCACCCCCUGAGUCCUCCACCUGAGGGGUGGAAUGGAUGAGGCCGGGGAAAGGCUGUGCUGCAGAAGCAGCCCCUAUCUGCCCGUGGCCAGCACGUGGUCCCCCAGGGCUGGCUGAGCCUCUGGAUAAGGCUUGAGCUGUUAUCUACACCCUCCAACAGAACCUGCUCACAGGGGCGCAGGCUUCAUGGCCUCCGAGGACUGUGCAUAUGCAGCCAUGGCUUCCUGCAACCCUCCCCAGUGUGUUCCCUUCUUUUUUUCUUUUCUCUUUUUGUUAAUUGUUUUUUUUUUCUUUUGAGAUGGAGUUUUGCUCUUGUUGCCCAGGCUGGAGUGCAGUGGUGCAAUCUUGGCUCACCACAACCUCCGCCUCCCGGGUUCAAGCGAUUCUUCUGCCUCAUCCUCCCUAGUAGUUGGGAUUACAGGCGUGUGCCACCAUGCCCAGUUAAUUUUGUAUUUUCAGUAGAGACGGGGUUUCACCAUGUUGGCCUGGCUGCUCUCGAACUCCCGACCUCAUGAUCCGCCUGCCUCGGCCUCCUAAAGUGCUGAGAUUACAGGUGUGAGCCACCGUGCCUGGUCGUUAAUUGUUUUUUUUUAAGAGACUGGGUCUUGCUCUGUUGUCCAGGCUGGAGUGCGAUGGUGCAGUCACGGCUCACUGCAGCCUCAACCUCCUGGGCUCAAGCCAUCCUCCCACCUCGGCCUUCUGAGUGGCUGGGACUACAGGUUCUUGCCACCACACCUUCCUGAUUUUUUAUUUUUUUGUAGAGACAGUAUCUUACUAUGUUGCCCAGGCUGGUCUUGAACUCCUGGCUCAAGGGAUCAUUUCACCUCAACCUUCCAAAGUGCUGGGAUUACAGGCAUGAACCACUACACCGGCCUGUUCCCUUUUUCUUGCAGGUCAUUGAGAACACACCACAGGGGACCUGGGAAUCUACUGAGGAUACAGAUUUCCCACAAUCCGAGACUGUGUGUCUGCCUGAUUGUUACAUAAUUUUAAUUGGGUGCCACACACCGAGAGAGGUUGUUUACUGGUGGGCCAUUCGGUUUCCAGUAAAAGCCCUUCCACUCACUGUGGCAUGGUAAAUGGAGCUCAUCACAUGGUCCCUUCAGCCUUUCCUUGAAUCAUUUCCACCCCUUCCCUAAUUACCCUCUGUGAUCCCUUUCCCGGCAAGGGUCCUUCUAGCCUUGCUACCUUGGUAAACCUGUGGCCUUAGGAUCGAGGUGUGGACAUUAACUUUUCUGCUCUGGCGGCUUCCUGGGCUGUCCUCUCCAUGUUCCCAGCACUCAGGGGCACUGUCCUUUCCUGGCAGCCUAGUAAAUCCCAGGCCUCUGUUUUGGGCCCUUUGGCUUCUUGGUGCCUGUUAUGCUGAAGCGUAGAAGUGUCUUAGUCAGAGCCCCAAAGGACACUCACCGGCCCACGUUCUCAUGGAGCUGGGUAGCUCUGACCAGACUUGCCCUCUGGGGCCCUGUCCUUUGACCACGCUGUCUCUAUCCCUUCUGAGGCUAAGGCUUCCUCACACUGCAAGAUCCAGCCGAGGCAGGCCUUGGCGCUGGGAAAGCACCGUGUCACAGCACCUGCACCUUGAAUUGGCAUCGUCAGUACACCUGACCCGGGCUGGGGUGGGGCCAUGCCUCUGUACUCCUCUGCACUCAGGUACCUGGCACACUGGCAUUCGGGAAGCAUGUCUUGAAUGCCUAUUAAAAUGAUUAGGACCGGGCGUGGUGGCUCACGCUUGUAAUCCCAACACUUUGAGAAGGCAAGGUGGGAAGAUUGCUUGAGGCCAGGAGUUUGAGACCAGCCUGGGCAGCAUAGUGAGACUUUGUCUCUACCAGACAUAAAAAGUAAAUAAAAAUAAAAUGAUUAAACAUGCACAACUCCACCUCGAGCUGGAUCUCUCCUUAGGUCUAAAGACACUUGCUGAGAACCUGAUGUGUGCCUGGCCUUCCAAGGCACACCUGUCACUGGCUUGGAACUCAGACCAAUCAAAAUGCCUGUGCUGCUGACAGCUGAGCUCUCUUCCUCUGGUUCUCCUCCUGUGUCCUGGGGGUGUUUUUCCAGACCUGCUGUGGGGAGAACCUUUGGGCUCAGAUGAUAAAGAUCCUGAAUUAGCAGAGUCCUGUGCCAGCUCCAGCCCCUGCCUUUGGGUGGACCGGACUAGGCUGGGGAAAGAAAGAUGUCUGGCUAUGAAAGGGUGGCUGGCCAAGGUUGAGGCUCAGCCUGCCCCUGCUCAGGCUCCGAGCAGCAGGCUCAGCAGCCACAGUUAGGCACGUUUGCACUUCCAACCAUCACAGGCAGGCGGGCCAACCGGCCCAUGGUGUGGUGACUAACACCUCAUUAAUGGUCAUACCCCUUCUGUACCUGGCAUGUGCCCUCCAUUGUGUGCCUCCGGCAAAGAGCCCACUAUCAAGUUCCCCAGUCAGCAGCUACUUGGUAGUCACUGUGGCAUGUCGGUCACCAUUAAUAUUUGAAAGAUGCCUGUGCUCUGCUUCAGGCUGAGGCAGGCACCCCUUACCUUCCUGUUAUGUGAAGAUGCCUGCAGGAAAGGUCACACCUAGGGUGGGUGGACUAGUAAUGCUCCCUGUUGUUAUUUGGCCUUCAAAAUUAAAUUUGUCUUGGGCCCAA